rnacentral:tRNA from 1 species
AAGAAAUUAGUUAAAUUAUAAUAAAAACUUGUCAAGUUUUAGUUACUUAAAAAGUAUUUCUUU